rnacentral:rRNA from 1 species
AUGAACAUCGCCCUCCUCACCCGCUGGCUAUGGCGCAUUGCCAAUGGGGAGGGAGGCCUUUGGUUGACUAUCAUCCGGAACAAGUACCUGCGUGGCCAGCCUCUGGCGUUCUGCCAGCGCUCGGGCGGUUCCCAGUUUUGGCAGGCAGUCGUCCAGCUGCUUCCAGUCCUGAGGAUAGGCACCUCCAUCUCGGUGGGUUCUGGCGCCUCGACCUUGUUUUGGCUUGAUAGUUGGGUAGGGGACUCCCCCCUGGCCGCCCGGUUCCCCAUCCUCUUCGACAUUGUAGUUGACCCUCGGGUCUCGGUCGAGGCGGCCCUUAUUGACUUAGGGCGCCUCGCGUUUCGUCGUCCUUUUGGCCCUGCCGAGGUGGCUGCUUGGGAUGUCCUCCUCCAGGACAUCGCCUUGUUGCCUAUGGACGUGGCUGACUCUCCGGAUGCCAUCUCCUGGCGUCUGGAUUCCUCAGGCCGCUUCUCCACCAAGUCCCUUUACGCGGCUAUUGCCCCAUCAGUUGCCCCGGUGCCUUUCGGCCUUAUCUGGGACAUCCGCCUCCCACUUAAGAUCCGGAUCUUCUUGUGGCAAUGGAUCCGCGGCCGCCUCCCGUCCGGCGUGGAGGUCCUCAAGCGCCAUGGGCCUGGGGAUGGGAUGUGCCCC